AAUAGAGAGACAAUGGAUGAUUGGAAGAGAGAACAAGGAGAAAUGACAAAAGGGAAAGAGAAGCGAACAGUUUGUUCUUGUUUCUUUUUCCCUUUUCUUUUUUCCCUCUCUACUGCAAGCUCUCUCGGUUCUCUUUCAAGAUA